UACGGAGGAUGCAAGCGUUAUCCGGAAUUAUUGGGCGUAAAGCGUCCGCAGGUGGUAAUGUAAGUCUGCUGUCAAAGCGUCUGGCUCAACCAGAUAAAGGCAGUGGAAACUACAUAGCUAGAGUAAGGUAGGGGUAGAGGGAAUUCCUGGUGUAGCGGUGAAAUGCGUAGAGAUCAGGAAGAACACCAGUGGCGAAAGCGCUCUGCUGGACCUUAACUGACACUGAGGGACGAAAGCUAGGGGAGCGAAUGGG
rnacentral:rRNA from 1 species